rnacentral:rRNA from 1 species
CGAGUGCGUGAAGUCGGAAUCGCUAGUAAUCGCAGAUCAGCAUGCUGCGGUGAAUACGUUCCCGGGUCUUGUACACACCGCCCGUCACACCAUGGGAGUGAGUUUCACCAGAAGUGGGUAGGCUAACCGCAAGGAGGCCGCUUACCACGGUGGAUUCAUGACUGGGGUGAAGUCGUAACAAGUAGCCGUAGGGAACCUGCGGCUGGAUCACCUCCUUUCUA